CUUCAGUGUGGAGAACAUUCAGCAGUAUUGUUGACAUUUUUCUUUUUUAAAAAGGAGGAAAAGCUAAAGAAACUCGUAAGUUUUGUUACACAGGGGACUAAGAUGGCGUGAGUGGAUGAAAGUGAAGUGCUGUCUGCCUGACUGUAUGAAGCCUUCAUUCAAUCUCUGCAGUUCAUCUCACUUCAAAUGUUUGUGGAAGAACUUCACUGAGAGUAGCGCUGCGAAUAUUCUGCCAGACGACAACUUCUGUCUACACGCUUUUCCACCAAAGAAGUCAUCACUACACGGCACAGGCUGUGACUUUUGACAGUUCAGUUCCACUUUUAGCCACUACUCUUUAUGUCAUGGGGUCACAUCAACGCUAUGGCUGGGCCAUGGAACAUGAAGGUUCCCUGUACUUUUGAAACCCUGUGUGGGAUUAAUGGUGGUGCUGAGUCACAAAAGAGCUUAAGAAAAGGAAGAGAACAUGCAGAGACUUCGUGGUGCAAAAUGUGUGUGUGUGUGUGUGUGUGUGUGUGUGUGUGUGCGCACACACACGCGAGUGCGCGUGUUUGUCACCCAAUUCUGUGGCUUUGGUGAGAAAGUAAUGACAGCAAAUAAUGUAUGAAUGUUUUUGCAUCAGAGGACAUCCACAUCUGCUGGAAGUGUUUGGGUUUUGAUCUUAGAAAACCAACUUCAGCUGUGAAAUGAUUCUUGUACUUCUCUCCCGCUCUGUCAAUUCCCGUGAGCGCUGUAUGCUGUGUGCUGUCCUCUGUCACUGGUCUGCAAGUGUGGAAACAUGAAGCUCAUAGGCUGGGGACAGGGACUGAGAUCCUGCUGGCUUUUGCAAGAGAACCCGGAAGCAGAGUUCAGUCCACCAGUGAGCGCAGGUGUCUCAGAGAAGGGUGGAGGUGCUCCUGGCUGUUAGCUGAGAUAGGAAUGCUGUUUACGGUGGUUCUAUGUCCUGUGCCUGUAGACUUAUAAGAGUUGUCAUUGUUGAAUACUAUUAAACUGAUGUUAAUUAAAAAAAAAAGUUGGUUGGAGUUGAGCUAGUGGUGGACUUGGGUGAGGAACAACAAUCCUCUGAUAUUUAUUACACAUUCACUAUGUUAAGAAAAAUGACCCUCUGAUUCAAUAUUACACCUUCUCUAACUGUAUUAGGAACAAUGAUCCUCUGACUUAUUAUUAGGCAUUCUCUAACUGUGUUAGGCAUACAUUCUAUACUUUUAACUUUCUCUCCUUCCCAAAUUAAAACAAAAACACG
rnacentral:lncRNA from 1 species